GUCUUCGGAUUGUAAAGCACUUUCGACGGGGACGAUGAUGACGGUACCCGUAGAAGAAGCCCCGGCUAACUUCGUGCCAGCAGCCGCGGUAAUACGAAGGGGGCUAGCGUUGCUCGGAAUGACUGGGCGUAAAGGGCGUGUAGGCGGUUUUGACAGUCAGAUGUGAAAUCCCCGGGCUUAACCUGGGAGCUGCAUUUGAGACGUUAAGACUAGAGUGUGAGAGAGGGUUGUGGAAUUCCCAGUGUAGAGGUGAAAUUCGUAUGAUAUUGGGAAGAACACCGGUGGCGAAGGCGGCAACCUGGCUCAUUACUGACGCUGAGGCGCGAAAGCGUGGGGAGCAAACAGGAUUAGAUACCCUGGUAGUCCACGCUGUAAACGAUGUGUGCUAGAUGUUGGGUAACUUAGUUAUUCAGUGUCGCAGUUAACGCGUUAACGUCUACACCGCCUGGGGAGUACGGCCGCAAGGUUGAAACUCAAG
rnacentral:rRNA from 1 species